rnacentral:rRNA from 1 species
UAGGGAAUCUUGCGCAAUGGGCGAAAGCCUGACGCAGCCACGCCGCGUGAGUGAUGAAGGCCUUCGGGUCGUAAAGCUCUUUCAGCAGGGACGAAAAUGACGGUACCUGCAGAAGAAGCCCCGGCCAACUACGUGCCAGCAGCCGCGGUAACACGUAGGGGGCAAGCGUUGUCCGGAUUUAUUGGGCGUAAAGGGCUCGUAGGCUGUUCAGUAAGUCAGGUGUGAAAACUCGAGGCUCAACCUCGAGACGCCACUUGAUACUGCUGUGACUUGAGUUCGGUAGAGGAGUGUGGAAUUCCUAGUGUAGCGGUGAAAUGCGCAGAUAUUAGGAGGAACACCAACGGCGAAGGCAGCACUCUGGGCCGAUACUGACGCUGAGGAGCGAAAGCGUGGGGAGCGAACAGG